GAGUUGAUAUGGUAAGAGCACAGUGUCAGUGAGACUUUGGCCCUGUAUGGGCAGGUAGUUUCUUCCAUCAGCAACCACAUGCUGGCCUUCCUAACAGGGCCAGCUGUCUCACAAAUGCAUGCCGUUGGGCAAGAGGGAGGCCUGCGAAAAGGAGAGUGUGGAUGGAUCUACGCAAAUCCAUCAUUUCUCCUGAAUGAACUUCUCACAGGAUGCAUCCCACCGUCAGCAGGGAACUGAGACAGACAGAAGAAAGACAAAUGAUUUAUUCAAGAUCACAGAGCUAAUACGCGAUGAUGGGAGUGAGAGUGUUGUCGACUAUCUGGGACUCAAGAUCACAGUUCAACAACUCUGGCCCAGAACAUUGAGUGGCAAUGACUUUCCUUGGCUCAAAUUGGCUCAAGAGGCAGGACUUGAAUCAGGGUCUUUCUGACUACUCUUCUGAAUUAUAUUUCACAUUCACUGAGUUCUACAUUAGAUUCCAGGAACAUAUUUCUCCUGAUGCAACCUUGGCAACAGUAGCAGAGAUUUUGACCCUUCCUUGCAAGCCUCCCAAUUCUGGCAUUGACCAUAGCAGCAGGGACCAGGAGCAGAAGGAAUCAUACUUGUGUUCACCAUUUUUUUUUCCUGGUGCCAUUUCUUUCUCAUAAACAGGACAAAAGGGCAGCUGCUGAAACAUUUGGCUGUGCCGAGGGGUAGUGGGCUCAACAUGCUGGAGUUCUGCACAUGACCAGCUUGAGUUUGUAUCCACAGCUACAGGACAGAACUUUAUGGAAACACUUUGCCAAGCCAUGUGGUGCUUUGCUCUCCUUUGCAUCAAUACCCUUUUAAUUACCUGAUCCUGGGGAAAAAAAAAGUUCUGAAAAGUGUCAGCGCAAAAUAAAAGCCGAGGAACCCA